GCCCUCGUAGUUCAAUGGAUAGAAUAGCUCCCUUCUAAGGAGCGGAUGGGGGUCCGAUUCCUCCCGAGGGCA
rnacentral:tRNA from 1 species